rnacentral:lncRNA from 1 species
UUUCUUUUUUUUUUUUUUUUGGUUCUCUAAAUCAACUGCAAGCCAGUUUUCCAUUAAAUUUUGUGGAAGGAAAAGUAACUUUUGCUAGCAAGUGAGAACAUUUUUAAGAAAACAAAAGGGCUAGCUAAAUUGACUUGCAGAAAUCUCAAUUGAAUCCCAGUACUCAGAAUUUAGUUUAAUUUAAAGAGAAAAAGAUAAAAAGAAAAGAGUAACCUUUUCAAAACACAACAUGGUACAUUCUUCAGUAAGGUAUUACAAGGUGUCUCAACAAGUAAAAACUCAACAAGAAACAAAGCUACCACAUAGAAACUAAAGAGAUACGAGUACCUAAUCAGACCUCAUACAUUAUGUUGGCAUAAAUGCAUCAUAGUAUUGUAUCAAUCAUCUGUAUCAUUUAGAAAGAAAACAUACUGAAAUAGGUUUCUUCUGAUCCAAACUUAAGCAAAUAGCAAUUGAGUAAUUUGCAAGAAUGGAAGGUAUUACUAAAAUUUUACAUUUUUAGCAUAAUUCAUUUGCUUUUACACAAUUUUGAACCUUUCAAGCAGCACUAUGUUACCAAGGCUAUAAUAUUUGUUACCCAAAGUCUAAAUUAGACAUUUCAAGUUUAAGAAAAGCAUGUUUUCAUGCUACCUCUACAAAAGAAAGUGAUACAUUGUAAAUAUUUCUAAAUAUUCACGAGGCAUUCUUACUUAGAUCAAGUUCAUUAUCGUCUAAAUCUAAUGCUGAAUAAAAAGGACUGAAGUAAAGGAAAUAAACAUGCAUUUGAUAUGUGAAUAUAUUACCUUGUACCCAAACAAUGAAUCUUCAUAAGUUUCAUAUGGACCAAUGGUGACAUCCAACUUAGAAUCCUAAAGCAGGAAAUUCAAACAGGGAGAGAGCGAAGACCCAGUGAGUUCAUUAGAAUAGGAAUUGAAUUGAAUACCAAAUUAAGCAUAUUGACAUCAAAACAAGAUGUUACUAAUAUUUUUAAAAUCAAAACAGAAAAAGAAAUGGUUGAAUUUAAAGCAGAGGGAAAAAAAAAGUUGCAGAUUUAUUAUCAUGAAUAUCCUUUUAAAUUAUACCAUAAUAAAUGUGUUCUUACAAUUUAUUCAUAUAUAAAAAUGAGAAAGUGCAUGAGAAGGGGAAAGAAAAAGAAUCAAAAUUUAGCAACAACUAACCAAUUCCAUCCAGGCUAUAUCAGAGUCAUAGUAGUCGUUUGAAAGGAAGGCAUCAGCCUUGCUAUGGAGCAACCUCUUCAAACUAUAAAGUUGAACGACUCAAGAGAUAUUAGUUGAUGGUAUAAGAUUUCAGAGUAGGAAUAAUAAACAAGACAUCAGAAGAAAAAACUGUCACACUCAUACCUAGGAGAGCUGACAAGGUCCCCAGCUUUAUGCAACAGAUCCGAAACUCUUGUCAGGAAAGGAUGAUACUCUUGGGAGUAAGGAAUGCUAUAAAGAUCAUGAGUAGACCCUUCUGAAAGAUGUGUGCUAUCAAAGAUAUGAUUGUCCCAAUUUACUUGACUGUGCCUUUUAAUGACAGUGAAAAAACUCGUUGCAUCCUUUUGCUUGUCCAAGCUUAGACCUGUAGUCCAUAAUUUAAAUUCCUAGAACAAAAAUGAAACUCGUCACUCUCUAUCCCGUUUUUAAAGUAAUGCUAAAAGAUGGCUAAACUGGAAAUUUUAUAGUAUAGCCACAUGUAUAAUGAAAAACCAUUCUUUUCAGCACAUGAAGAAAUUCCUGUGUUACCAUUUUGUCCAUGUCAGGAGGGUAGAAGUUGGCACCAGAAGGUUUUAGCAUUGGAAAUGCUGCUCUGUAUUGUACACCUUUCCACCCAGUAAUAGGCUUUGUGGCUUCAGGAAGAAGCUUUACUGCCGAAUCUGCAGUUGUUAAAAAUGCCUCGUUUUCAUCAAGGCAGGACCUGUUGAUAAAGAAUGAAUUAUUAAUGACAAAAAGACAUUCCCGCCAAAGAACAAAGCAGAAGGAAUUACCAUGGACUCUUAUUAAUUACAUAAUACAUCCAUUUCAGGUUGUCCAAUUGAGACACAUUGGCAUGCUCUUUUAACCAUUCUCUUAAAACUGGGUUGCUGUGCCAAACCUGAUUAUUUAAGGUGAAAAAGAACAAAGGAAAAUAUGAGAAUCUGAUGCCAUGUCAUCACAAUUAAGCAUUUACAUUAAGAUUGCAAUUAAAAUUAAGAAUGCUUUUACCACUUAGAUUGCAAAAUUUUGCACCAUAUCAAUACUUUUCCUUCCAAGCAACAAAUGUUUUAGGUGCCUUAAAACAAUAAAAAUUAUGUAAAACUAGAAAAAGCAUUUCACAAAACCAGAAUUUUGGCAAUAUCUAGACUGGGAAACAAUAUUUCAUGGUGUUAAGAUAUGUAAAUAGAAUAAUAUUGCUGAUUAUUAGGGAUUAUAGCAAGAUAUUAGGAAUUUGAUUUGAUUUUAUUUUAUAUACUUUCUUAUAGAGUAGACUCAUACUUGUAUAUGUGUAUUGUUUGAUGAUGAAUGAUAGAUAUAAUUUCAUUCUCUCUUUCUCCUUGUGUCUCCUUAAUUAUUCUUUCAGUAUUUUGUUCAUGAUAUCAGAGCCUCUUGGCUCGAUUUAGGGAGCUCGUGUUUCGUUGUUUUGAACACAAACCAUUUGAGCAUUUCGUGAGUUAACUUUUCAAGUUUUUUCGGGUACACUGUCAGCACAGGCAGGAGCACCACCAUCUUGACAGUUGCAACCGGAGCAGCACGCGAGGCUCACGCACGGCCUAAAGAUUUGCGACCCUCCUUUACGCGUCGGUGCGUGGUCAUCUCACCACCGGCUUCCACCCUUGAUGUUGACUCCUUUGUCCAACCCUAGCCCAGUGGUCGGUUGCUUGAUCGGAGGAGGAUUUGUAGGUCUUUUUUUUUAUUUUCUUUUUAGGUUUCGCAUUGUUUCAAUCACUGUUUUUUUUUGUUCUGUUUUAAGGGUGUUUUCUUGCUGCUAUUUGGCUCAAUUUGGGUUCUUUUCCGGCCAAUUUUUUUUUCUCACCACCCCCUUCAAUAGAGUUGUAGUCCAAUCCCCGGGGAAACCCAAAAAUCCAGUAACCAAACUCCCUGCUUGUGGCCCUCACACGCCACCCAUACCUUCAGCGUCCUUGCCCAUGCGCCGGCACAUGCAACUCACCUCCGUGGAAUUUGAUUCUCCGACGACCACUGUUGGUUUUGUUGUUGUUUCGAAUAAUAAUCUCUCGUUACAAAUCAGUCCUGUAAAACUUGACGGGCACAAUUAUCUCGCAUGGUCAUGAUCGUGCUUAUUGUUUAUCAAAGCUAGAGGGCUGCAGGGGUAUAUUACUGGUGAUUCGAAAAAACCCGUUGUAAAUGAUUCCACUUAUGAUUAGUGGGACUCUGAUAACUCUCUUGUUAUGUCUUGGUGUUAUGAGCUGAUAAAGUGAGCAAGAAACAAGUGGGAAUUUUAAGUAAAACGGAGAGUUUUGGGUUUUAAGUCAUACGGGGCGUUUUGCAUUUUUGUUAUAACUGAAUACUCCACGUCAUGUGGUUUGUUUGUUUUCUUUAUAAUGCAUGCAUUGCAUGCAAAACGGGUAUGCAAAAAAUACACAGAAAAUUUCUUAUCUCUUAAUUUCUCUCAACUCUUACUUCUACAAGUCUUUCUUCUUCAUUUUCCUAUCCGAAAUUACGUCUCGCAACAAAGGUAUCAGAGCUUCCACGAUCCCUUUUAAUGGCCGGUGAUGGAGUUUCAACAAGAUUGCAGAAAGAAGUGAGCACCUUACAGCAGGGAAUUUCCAAAAUCCAAGAGGAAUUUGCUCAAUUGGAGGCCAAGAUGUACUCCCGUUUUCAGGAGUUCAAAACGGAGAUUCGAGGUGAUCUAUAGUCGCUGUUGGGUCAGUAUUUCGGGCCCCCACCAACUGGGUUACAUGCUGCAGCUGACAAAGGGAAAUGGGUACUGGGAGCUCCUCCUGGGGUUUUACCCAAAACCACCGAUUUUCCUCCAGGACAGUCGGAACCCUUUGUUCCAGAUGGUGGUAGUGUACAUGUGAAGGAUUCCUCUUUUGUGGUGGGAGACUCAACUAAAAUCAGCCGAUUGGAGUGUCCUAAGUUCGAUGGGAAUGAUUUUCGGGGUUGGUGGACUAAAUUGGAACAGUAUUUUGAAGCUGAAGUCAUACCUGAAGGGAGUAAGGUUCGAUUAGUGAUGCUAAACUUAGAAGGCAGAGCACUGGAAUGGCAUCAUUUCUACUCGUAGAGGAAUGGGGGGCUACAAAUGUUGUCAUGGCCGGCGUACAUUAAGAGCCUUCGAGAUCGGUUCGGUUGUGGAUCAUUUGGGGACCCGAUGAGGGAGCUGGUCAACUUGAAACAACAAGGUACCGUCGAGCAAUUUCAGAAUUUAUUCGUAGGACUGCUUAAUCAACUACAUUUACCAGAGUCAUAUGCUCUUAGUAUAUUCUUGGGGAAUUUGAAGGCUGAAAUAGGUCACUAUUUAGACUUAUUUGCCCCUUCAACAUUGUUGGACGCCUUCCAGCUAGCGAGGAAGAUCGAGGUACUCAUCUCUGCUACAGGAAAGGGACCUCCGACGCUGGGAGUUGGCUCACCAAGAACGGUAACCAGUUCUUCACCGACUGUAAGGUACUCUUCUCCUCUCAUGAAAUUUGCAAAUUCGCAGUCGGUCACUAGGGGAUCGACAAAUAACUCGGGAUCCAAAACUAUAUCCCCUGCAUUAAUGGCGGAAAGAAAACAGAAGGGACUAUGUUUUUGGGGUGGGGCUAAGUACCAUGCAGGACACAAAUGUGUGAAAUCGCAAUUGUAUCAAUUCUUAUUGGAACCCUCUGCCGAGAGUGAAGCUGAUGAAUUCCAGGAAUGCUCUGACAACUUGGAGGAAAUGAGGAAUGAGGAUGGGGGUCCUAAAUCUCCCACGAUUUCAUUACAUGCCCUUACUGGCUUACAAGGGCAUAAUACCAUGAGGGUGGUAGCUCAAGUGGGAUCAGCUCAGGCUAUUAUCUUAGUGGAUUCGGGAAGUACACAUAACUUUAUUGACAGUAAGUUGGUCAAUAGAGUAUCAUUAUCAGUGGUGUGCCAUGAACAAUUGAAGGUUUCGGUGGCCAAUGGAAGUUGUUUGUUCACUAGGGGUUAAUGCCAAGGUGUUAAAUGGGAGGUGUAGAACCACUAUUUCCAAACGGACUUCAUGGUUUUAUCCCUGAAAGGCUGCGAUAUGGUACUAGGGGUUGAAUGGCUAUUGGCAUUGGGCGACAUUGUUUGGAAUUUCAGUUCUUUGACUAUGCAGUUUAAUGUAGGGGGGAAGUCUUGCGUUCUUCAAGGUAUAGUUCCUGGUUCGUUAGCAACAGGAAGUAAAGAAUCCAAUCCGAGGUGUUUUGCUGUUAUGGGGAAAUCGUUGGGGCCAUAUACUGCUGUAUUGAGCUCACCUGCACAAGUGACGCUUGGCACCUUGUAGGACACGACUCAGGGAAGUCAACUCCAAAAGCUGCUGAUGGAGUUUGAUGACAUUUUUCAAAUGCCGAAAGGGUUGCCUCCAAGUAGGAAACAGGACCAUAAAAUUCCUCUGGUUGAUGAAGGCACAGUAAUUAAAAUGAGGCCCUAUAGAUAUCCAGCUUGCCAGAAGACGGAAACGAGAAACUUAUCCAGGAAAUGCUCCAAGCUGGGAUCAUUUGUGACAGCACCAGUUCAUUCGCCUCUCCCAUUGUUAUGGUCAAGAAGAAGGAUGGUAGUUGGCGGUUGUGUGUGGACUACAGGCAACUCAACCAGUAUACAGUUAAGGAUAAAUUCCCCAUCCCUGUAAUUGAAGAGUUAUUGGAUGAAUUAGGAGAAGCCAGAGUAUUUUCUAAACUGGACUUAAGGUCCGGCUAUCACCAGAUUUGCAUGUGGGAACCGGAUGUGCAUAAAACCGCGUUUCGAACACACGAAUGACAUUAUGAAUUCCUUGUGAUGCCAUUUGGCCUCACCAACGCUCCUUCCAGUUUUCAAGCUCUCAUGAAUUCCAUUUUUAAGCCACUAUUGCGGAAGUCUGUGUUAGUUUUUUUUAUGACAUACUUGUCUACUCUACAUCGUGGUCUGAGCAUAUGCAGCAUCUGUGGAUAGUCCUUAUUUUAAGGGAACAACGUUUGUAUGCUAAUCGGUCAAAGUGCUGUUUUGGUUCCCUCCAAGUGCAAUACUUGGGACAUGUGUUGUAUAAGGGGACCAUUUCUAUGGACACUGAUAAAGUUGAUUGUAUAACGUCCUGGCCUAUCCCUACUUCGGUAAAAGAGCUCCAUAGCUUCCUUGGACUUACGGGAUACUACAGACGCUUUAUAAGGAAUUAUGGAGUAAUUGCUCAACCAUUGACUUGUUUAUUAAAGAAAGAUUGUUGGGGAUGGAAUGAUCAGGCAACUGAAGCCUUCCAAGCUCUCAAGCAAGCUAUGAGUUCAACUCCCGUAUUGGUACUUCCAAAUUUUCAGUUGGAAUUUACUGUAGAUACGGAUGCCAGUGGGUUUGGUGUCGGUGCGGUUUUGCAGCAACAAGGGAGACCUAUAGCUUUCUUUAGCAAGGCUCUUGGGGUGCGCCAUCAAGCACUAUCAAUAUAUGAAAAAGAAAUGUUGGCAGUCUUAUUAGCAAUGCGCAAAUGGCAUGCUUACUUGGUGGGUCGCCAUUUUAAAAUCCGAACAGACCACCAGAGUCUGCGGUUUUUGUUUUAUCAGGUCGCCGAUACUCCUUUCCAGCAACGUUGGGUAGCGAAGAUGCUCGGCUACGACUUCGAAGUUACAUACAGGAAAGGAAUCAACAACAAAGUUGCGGAUGCUCUCUCUCGUCAACCGCAGCUUGCACAGGGUCAGUAUUACCAACUUACUACGAGUUCAGUUAUUUCCGAUCUCUUGGUACAGGUACAACAGUCUUACACUCAAGAUGAUCGACUACAAAAGAUUAUUAGACACUCAGCAGCAUCAAAAUUCGGACCAAAAAUAUUCAUGGGAUGAGAGGUUCUUGUUCAGGAAAGGGAAGAUAGUGGUGGGGCGAGUUCAACAACUACGACGGGAGUCAUUCCUUCACUUUCAUGCUAGUGCAAUAGAGGGCCAUUCAGGGGUGACCGUUACAAGGAAACGACUGUCGAGUCAGCUAUACUUCGGAUGUCAAAAGAUGGAUUCGGGAGUGCAUCACAUGUCAACGAUGCAAAAGUGAGUCAGUGGCUUCUCCUGGCCUUCUUCAACCCUUACCCAUACCCGAUAGAGCUUGGUCGGUGAUCAGCAUGGACUUUAUUGAAGGGCUACCAAAUUCAAAUAAGAGGAAUUCCAUUCUUGUCGUGGUGGACCAUCUCACUAAGUAUGGCCAUUUCUUGACAUUGACACACCCAUAUACGGCUAAGGAUGUGGCUUUGGAGUAUCUUAAUCAGGUUUACAAACUUCAUGGUAUGCCCGAUUCUAUCAUAUCGGAUAGGGAUCGAAUAUUUGUUAGUAAUUUUUGGCAGGAGCUUUUUCAGAAGUCAGGUACUAAGCUCCUACUCUCGACGGCUUACCACCCUCAGACGGAUGGCCAGACCAAGGUUUUAAACCGAUGUCUUGAAAAUUAUUUGCGUUGUAUGACGGGAGAGACGCCUGCAAACUGGUCUCAAUGGCUACCCUUAGCAGAAUGGUGGUAUAAUUCCUCUCAUCACUCUUCUAUCCAGCUUACACCAUAUGAGGCCCUGUAUGGUCAGCCCCCGCCCACCCACAUGCCUUAUUUGGCGGGCGCCUCUCCUGUGACAGGUGUGGACCGAAGUCUGCAAAGUCGGGAGGCUGCUAGGAAGUUGCUUAUGUUCUGUCUUAAGAGAGCUCAGGCCCGUAUGAAGCAAUUGACAGAUAAACAUCGCUCGGAGAGAAGUUUUUAGGAGGGUGACUUGGUUUAUUUGAGGCUGCAACCCUACAGGCAGCAAUCGAUUCGGAAGGUCUCCAACCAAAAGUUAUCUCCAAAGUAUUUUGGCCCUUUUCCAGUGAUCCAGAAAGUAGGGGCAGUAGCAUACACUUUGCAACUUCCACAACACUCACGUAUCCAUCCUACAUUCCAUGUCUCGCAAUUGAAGAAACAUGUGGGUUCUGCUCCAACACAAAACCAGCUGCCUGUGGUAGAUGUUCAUGGUGCCUUACCAAAAGAGCCUGUUCGUAUUGUCGACAGAAGGAUGGUCAAGAAAGAGAGUCAAGCAGUAACCGAAGUGCUGGUCGAAUGGGCUAACUCCUUUCCAGAGGAUGUGACAUGGGAGUCCUUGGCUGCAAUUCAAACCAAAUUUCCUCACUUUCAGCCUUGAGGACAAGGUUGUCGUGUGGGAGGGGAGUAUUGUUAUGAGCUGAUAAAGUGAGCAAGAAACAAGUGGGAAUUUUAAGUAAAACAGAGAGUUUUGGGUUUUAAGUCAUACGGGGCGUUUUGCAUUUUUGUUAUAACUGAAUAGUCCACGUCAUGUGGUUUGUUUGUUUUCUUUAUAAUGCAUGCAUUGCAUGCAAAACGGGUAUGCAGAAAAUACACAGAAAAUUUCUUAUCUCUUAAUUUCUCUCAACUCUUACUUCUACAAGUCUUUCUUCUUCAUUUUCCUAUCCGAAAUUACGUCUCGCAACGCUUGGCUUAUCAACUCUAUGCAACCCCAGAUUUCCAGAACAUACCUGCUACUUAACUCUACAGAAAAAUAUGGCAUGCAGUUGCUAUUAACUACUCACAAGUUGGGAAUGAUGCUCAGAUUUUUGAAAUUCCCAAUAAAGUUCACAACGCUAAGCUAGGUGAGAUGUCAAUUUCUCAGUAUUUUUCUAAACUAAGUGGUUUAUGGCAAGAGCCCAAGCCCUUCUUUUACAAAUGAGUGUACCUAAAUGUUUUUGAGAUGAUGCCGUUUUAAUAGCCACAUUUCUUAUUAAUUGUUAACGAUAACAUUCCUUACCAUACCCUCUUUCCUUCAAAACUUUUGUUCCUCAUUGAGCCUAAAAUAUUUGGUAGCACUUGCUUUGUUCAUGAUGUUCAUCCAAAAGUCAUAAAAUUGGACCCAAAGUCAAGUGUGUGUUUCUUAGUUAUUGUAGACUUAAAAUGAGUUAUAAAUGGUACUUUUCGGAUCUUAAGAGACAUCUUGUGUCUAUUGAUGUUACCUUUUUUGAGCAUACACCGUUUUUUCCUGUGUCCUCCAUUUCUGAAUACUUCCUCCGAAAAUGAUGAUUUGUUAUUAUAUACCGUGAAUUGUCUUGUCAACUCCUCUAAAAUAGGUAUGCUAGAAUAUGUAACAACUCGACCACCAAUCAGUCAUGUUUAUUCAAGACGAUAAAUUUGACCCCUAGUCAAUCUGAUUUUAGUAUCGACCUUCCCAUUGUCCUAUGUAAAGGUAAACGACAGUGUACUUAUCCUAUCUCCUCUUUUGUCUCUUAUGAUCAAUUAUCCCCUAUGACUAGCUUUUUCAUUCUUUCAUUAAACUAUUUCUAUUCCUAAAACUGUAAGGGAGGCCUUAUCUCAUCCUAACUGAUGGGAUGCAAUGAUAGAGAUGAUUGCUUUAGAUGGUAAUGGUACUUGGGAAUUGGUUAGUUUGCCGACUGAAAAGAAGGCUAUUGAAUGUAAAUGUGUUUACAGUCCAAGUUAAUCUUAAUAGUUACUCAGAUACUUUUUCUCCAGUGGCUAAGAUGGCUUAUGUUCGUUUGUUCAUUUCUAUAGCGGCAACAUAUGGGUGAUCCUUGCAUCAACUUGAUAUAAAAAAAAUGUCUUUCUGCAUAGUGAUCUACAGGAGGAGGUCUAUAUGAAGGACCCAUUUGGUUUUGUUGCUCAGGGGGAGAGUGCGAAGUUGUGUCGUCUUCAGAAAUCUCUAUAUGAUUUGAAACAGAGCCUAUGAGCAUGGUUUGGACGAUUCUGUGAGGUGAUCCACUUAGAGGUAGGCAUGAUUCUCUUAGUAGUUUAUGUUGAUGAUUUUGUUAUUACUGGAAGUGAUGAUACAAAUAUUCUUGCUUUGAAAUCAUACCUUCAUACUUAGUUUCAAACGAAGGAUUUGGGACAAUUGAAAUAUUUUCUUGGCAUUGAAGUUACUAGGAGUAAGAAGGGUAUUCUCUUGUCUCAGAGGAAAUAUACCCUUGACUUACUUGAAGAAACUAGAAAGUCGGGAUGUAAGCCAUGUAGCAAACUGAUGGAUUCCAAUUUGCAACUUAUGAAGGAAGAUAAUGAUUCGUUUGAAGAUCUUGAGAGGUAUAAGAGACUAGUUGGGAAACUGAAUUAUCUCUUAGUGACUCAUUCUGAUAUCGCAUAUUUUGUGAGUGUUGUGAGACAAUUCAUAUCUUCACCAACAGUUAGACAAUGGGUGACACUAGAGCAAAUCUUAUUUUACCUAAAGGGAGCUCUAGGCUGUGAGCUUCUAUAUUAGAAUUGUGGUCACAUAGGCAUUGAAUGCUUCACUAAUGCAAAUUGGGGAGGAUCAAAGAUGGAUAGAGGAUCAACUAUCUAAUUUCUUGACACAAUCUGUGUGAGAAAUUAUGUGGUUACAAUAGUUACUGGAAGAACUAGGAUUUAAAAAGUCGUCACCAACAAAAUUGUGGUGUGAAAAUCAAGCUGCUCUUCAUAUAUCCUCCCUUCCAGUAUUUCAUGAGUGAACCAAGCAUAUUGAUGUCGACUGUCACUUCAUUCAUGAGAAGAUCCAACAAAAGCUCAUAUCAACAGAUUAUGUCAAAACAGGAGAUCAAUUAGGAGAUAUCUUUUUGAAAUCUCUUAGUGGACCUCGAAUUGAUUAUAUUUGUAACAAGCUAGGCAUGAUUAACAUCUAUACUCUAGCUUGAGGGGAAGUGUUAAGAUAUGUACAUAGAAUAAUAUAGUUGAUUAUAGUGGAUUAUGGCAAGAUAUUAGAGAUUUGAUUUUAUUUACUUUCCUUAUAAAGUAAACUCAUACUUGUAUAUAUAUGUAUUGUUUGAUGAUGAAUGAUAUAUAGAGUACCAUUCUCUCUUUCUCCUUGUGCCUCGUUAAUUAUUCUUUCACUAUUUUGGUCACAUAGAAACAAGGUUACAUUAGUAAAUUGUGUUAGGUGCUAAGUACAGAAUUUUUAGUUCGGAAAAAUUAAGUAUUGAAUUUUUGUUGUAAAGGUUGCUUGGUUUUUUGCUGCAAAUUAAAUAUUGAUUAGAUUUUUUUUGGAUAUGUUAUUGAGUAUUUUACAUAAAGAAAACUAAAAAGUAAAAGUAAAAAGCUAAAAAGGACAGAAUGGUUCAUGUAAUUAAAUGAUAAAAUUUUCCUUUAUGAGAAUGAUUUAAUUCAUUCAGUAAAUUUCUUCAUAUUUUCAACACUUCUCUCCACUGGAAUUCCAUUUAAGUGGUUUCUGAAAUAAGUAAUCAAACACAUUGAAAACAUCAGAUCAUUGAAACUUUUCAGUAUCAAUGGUUUAUUUUGCACACCCUUAGUUUGCAUUUUGCAACCAGUUUAGUUUGCAUUUUGCAACCAGCUCAAAAUCUUAUAGUGAUAAUGAACACAUAUAUUUUGAAUUGCAUCCUAAAUACGUGUAUCAAAAUAUUUCUGCUAGUAACUAGAUGAUGCCUUUUUAUCUAAAAUUUAUUCAAGGUAGUGCCAUCAGUGAAAGAAAGAUUCUACUAUACCAAUCUGGAAAUAUAAGUUGUUAUCCUUUGCAAUUACUUUCUGGGGUAUGAUAGACUUAUACCUUCGUGUUCCUUAUAUCAUAUCAAUGUCUCUACUACUUUCCUGUAAUAUUGACUGACAUAUUGAAUGCUCCUAUAGCAUCACUUGACUCAUUGAACUGAAAACAACUUUUCCCAGAAGAAGCAACAAGUGAAUUAUAUAUCUCAAAGACUACUGCAUAAGUGUUAUGAGUGAACUAAUCAAAACUACCUAUAUUAUAAUGCAACACUAGCAAAGCAUUGUUAUUAUGAACCCAUCUCCUGUUUGCUAACUAGUGCACCAGUAAAAAAUUAACUAAUCUUUAACAGCUUUCAACAUAUAUAUAUAAUAAGCAGAAGUUCUAUUGCAUUUGGAGUGUUGUUCGUGAAUAUUUUGCACUAGAUCAUCUAUUCAGUAGCACAAAAUUUUCCUUUGGUUCAUGCAAAAAGAAACCAACUGUGCUAUUCUUACUACUGACUUAUAUAGACAUGCUACAAGACCAGAGCAGAUGUUUGAGCAAAUCUGUGUACUUGUGUGUGAGAUUUUUUGUCUACUUAUAUGCAUAAAUACGACCUGCAGAUAAAAGAUUUCAUCCAUAAUCAUUGCAGCCCUAACCAGUAAUAUCAGAGCCUCCUUGUCAGCAUCACCAAGCCCUGUCAACUGCAAUGAGGGAAUAGAUUUAGUAAAUAAUUCAACACGUACAUCGAGAAGGUCUGACUGUUAUAUUUAGGAGAGGGAAAAAUUACAAACACAAUAUUUGAAUGAAAUAAUGGAAAUUGGCCACAAGGGUGGCUGUAGCAUGCAGAUAACUUACUCCUGUAUAAUUAUAAGCUUCAAUAUGUAUUCAGCUUUUCACAGGAUUACUUUUAAAGCAGAAAAGAAAGCAAUGGACCUUUUAUAAACUUAAAAGUGAUAGAAAGACCAUCCACCUGUAAACUAACAAAUUAAUGAACGUGAAACCAAAAGUGUCCAUAGGAUACAACACAACGCAUUCUGCUCAUAUCACACAAUGUCUACAUGCAAACUGACUACAUAAAGCUUGAGGAUAAAAAUAUUGAGAUGGAUUGGAAAUAUAACAACCAAUAAAAGCAGGGUGGCUGGUAUUAAAAUUGCAGAAAGUUGACAACCUCUGCAGUGAGAGAAACAGGAGCAUAUCGACGAAGUUGCUUUUGUAGUACUAGACUGCGUGCUUCAUUGUUCUCUCUGUACCUUUAAGCAAGUAUUUGAAAUGUUAACCACAACAUGAAAUGUCAACAUGAAUAUAACAUUUAGAUGAAUUUGACAAUUAUUUUGUUCAACAACAUGGUCGUAGUUACUCAGCUUACCUUUUUGUAAUUAUAUCAAAGAGCAGACCAUAUUGUUUAUUUACAUCAUAAGGAACAUAUUUAGGAUCUGCUUCAGCUAGGUGACUUCUAUAUUCCCCAAAAGAAAUGUAUUUUACAUCAGAGACUUCGGUAUCCUAUCAUAAAAUAAAAUAAAAUAAAAUAAAAGCUAAUAAAAAACAUUCACAUUUUCAGGUAGUUUUGUAGCGGGACAAAUCACUUAUCAGUAUUCCCUGUUUACCAUUCACCAUUCACAUUUUCAAAGCAUGACUUUCAUAUAUAAUUGUAAAGAAAAUGUAUAAUGAACUAUUCAUUAAGCACCAGGCACCAUCAACAGCCUUAAAUUCUGAGACUAAAACCAACUUAAAAGGAGGAUAAUCAUGGUAAAGAUGGAAGUUUAGAAGGAUGAAUCUCAUCCAUAGAAUGAAGACCAGAGAGCUAUAUUGAUAUACUUCAGAAUAGGGAUUCUGCAGCAAAUCCAUGCAAGCCUAUUAGGUUCUAAAACAAACCAUAAAAAAUGGAUUUUCUAACAAAUAAAUGUGAUCAAACAUUAUAGACUUUUAGGCUUCUCAUUUGUCUUUGUGCAAGAUGUUUCUCUGUCAAAAAAAAAAAAACCUUAAAAGAGGCACCAAAAGUUAAAUUGCACUUACGCUUUGGCAGUCCAAUAUUUUUUGGAAAAUUUUAGAGAGAGAAAGAGACAGAGUUGUUCAACUUGUUUCCCUAAAUUCAUCACUGACAAUGGCAUUUUUCUUUCAGUGCUAGCUUUAGAUCAGAAAGGGAACUUCCAAUCAACUAAGAGUAAAAAGAUUACAACAUGAAAACAGACUGAAAUACAACCAAGAGUGGAAGGGCUUAAGAUCUAGAGUUGAAUUCCACUUAUUCAUUCAGUACAAGCAAUGUUUAAACUUGAGAUGAUAAAGCAUACCUACACCAGAUGUUUCACUGUAGUCAACUUUGUCACUACUGUAGACAGGUUUGGAAUAUCAAGAAAAUUAAUCCAUACUCCACCAGAAAACCAUUAGAAAACAAAAUCCAUGAAAUUUUGAAUGAUAAUUCCGACUGUUAUUGACUAUUGUUCAUCUCAACAAUUUUUGGACAACGAAAGUACUUUGAGAUGGAAAACAAAUACAGAAUUUUGCAUAUUAUAUAUAAUCAAAUAACAUUGAAUGGGUUGAAAUUUUCAACUGAGAAUAAUUAUUAACUUCCUUACCUGAAGUGUAAAGGCUUCUCGAGGAAUUGGCUCUAGAGUUGUUACUAGGUAUACAUCGCUGUAUUCAUUAUUGAUGAACUUUCCAUUGUUUGUGACACUGCAAUCAAAUGUAAACAGCAUAUGUUAAGUCAAAAUGGAACUAAAAGCAUCAGAAAACCACUUAAGCAUCUCAACAAUAUUAAGAUUCAUCAAUUAAACAAAACUUCACAGCAUAUGUUAAGUCAAAAUGGAUCUAAAAGCAUCACAAAACCCCUUAAGCAUCUCAACAAUAUUGAGAUUCAUCAAUUAAACAAAAAUUCCAAGAAACUAAACAUGGAAUAAUAAUAGUAAUAAUGAUAAAUUGAAAGUGAUGCAGACCUAGGUGAAAUCUUAAUGUCUAGAUGGUCUUAUCAUUGCAUAAGAUUGAUGCAGCAUACCUCAGAAAAACAAUAAAUCAAAACACUCUUCUCUAAGAAAAAGGAAGUCAAUACAACUAUGAACUUACAAUGAAAAAUAAAACACCAUUUUUCAGAGUAAAUUUAUGCCAAAUGCUAAUUGUUUAUUGAAAAUAUUGAACCCUGAUGAACACAAAACAGACUUGAAUUUAGUAAGACGGCAUUAGCAUCAGAAAUUAAUGCACCAAUGGUUCUAGCAAAGCAACAAAACCAGAGAAAAUGUUGCCAAAAUCACCAAAAAAGCAUCAUAGUCAUCUGAUCAGCUGCACCAAUUACAUUCCAAGAAGAGAGUAAAUUACACCAAAACAAAAAGAAGAUUUUAUCAACUAACCACUCUUCAAGAAAAACGAAUAUCAACUCAAAUGCAUCCUUUGGGAGGAUCACCCCUAGUUCUUCUUGAAGCUCCCUCCUGAACAAAUAAGAUAUUUAGCAAGCAUUGUGUUUUAACACUAGAUCAACCAAAAAGGGAUAAAUUUCUAACAAUAAUAUGUUCACCAAGUAAUAGACGAUGGAAAAAAUGGGCCAACAAGGUAAAAAGAAAAUUAAUGGAUGCUGAUCUCCAAAGAAUUUCUUGUGUCGAAAGUUACUACAAAGGAAGGGACAAUAAGAUAUUUAAAUAAAGAUAGAAAAAAAAACUCAGAUAUCUUCACUCCUUCCGAACAAAAAGGUUUCUUGGCCAUCUAGAAACCACUAGGUUUACCAUCAGUUAGGAAACUAUCAAUUAGAUAUUUAAAAGAAAUGUAUUAACCAAAUCUAGCAAGUAUAUAAAACAACAGAAAGUAGCAAUGAUAAACAAGAACAUGGGGAGAAUAUCUGUGCACGGCACACAUAGAAAGAUUAAAGACCGAACAGUUUUUCAAAUGCCCUAUGAAAGAAGUAGAACUGAAGACUUGUGAAAUUGGAUUCACUUACUGUGCUGUUAUUAGCGAUGAGUCACCAGCAGAUAUAUGGCCAGCACUGGAGAUAUCCCACAACCCUGGCCACGAGUCCUUGCAGUCUGCACGUUUUUGGAGAAGUAAUUCUUGUGUACUCUCAGCAAAAAUCCAGACAUGGACUGCUUUAUGGUAAUCCCCAUCUCGAUGGACAUCUCCCCUGCAAAGAGAUCACAAUGAGUUACAUAUCAAGAAACUACCAUUAUAGAGAAACGCCAGUACAGAAAUCAUAAGCAACCUCUAACACACAAUAAUACUCAAAAUGAAAUAUUUUAUAUCAAAUGUAUGCCUCCGUAGCUCUAGCUUGCAAGUUUUCCAUACCCAGUUCCAAUUUCAAGGACCAUAAGCAACCUCCCCCCACUCACACACACACUUGAAAACUUUCAGUUCUAUAAUCCGGAUUGAGUACCGAAAAAAUUAGGGGUUCAUUGAAAGAAAUUACAAACCAAAUCAACAAAUGAAGCUAUUACUACCAUUUUCAAGGAACCAGCUUAACUAAUCUCAAAGGUUCUAUCAAACCCAAUUUACAGAAGCUGCAAAUAACAAGUAUAGCUUAAAUUAACUUGUCCUAUAAUUUUCCAAUUUGGUAACUGCAAAAACAUGAUUUCUGCUAAGAGUAAGCAACAGACAGUAUAGAAAAUAAAUAAAAGAGCCGGUUGUAAAGUAAUCCUUUAUGUUGAAAGAUCAAAAACAGAUAAUCCAGAAAUGGACAAGAAUGAAGAGACGUGCCUGGGCUUGGAAACGCCUGUCUUUUUACCGGUUUUAGUGAGAACGUCGAGAUACUCUACUUGUUCAAUGUAAGGCUCUGCCAUUGAUUCUUUCGAUGAAUCAGACUUUGUCUUCGUUGACGAAUUUGAUAAAUUGCGUGCUUCUUUAUUUAGUCUAAUGGCUGCAGAGUCUGUCUUUCUUUCUUUUCUUUAACAACAAAAGUAGGGCUUUUUUCCACCAAAAAAAAUUAAUUAUUUAUGAAAAUCAUCAAGUCAAUAUUUAUUUAAGUAAACUACCCGUUCUGCACAAUGAUUCCUUAUCAUUAGCCGACCAUUGGCCUUUUUAAAAAAUUUUAAUUUUGUUGAGUGCUAUCUUAUGUAUUUUGUCAAAUAACUCAUAAAUAUAUGUAUUUUUUCAACUCAGGCGACACCGGAGUUGACAGAGCAGGUUUACCCCGAGCAGGUUCGGGCUAAUAACGGCCCGACUGAUCCAGUCCAGACAUUAAUUGGAUUAUCGGUCUGGUUUCACAUUCUAGACCGGUUCGACUAAUUUUUGAGUUUUAAUCUCUAUUUUAGACUCCCAGACUUAAUUUAUGAUUUCAUAUCCAAUUUUUAAGUUCAAUUACCAAUUUGCCUAAUUAUCUGACUUAAAAUUUAAUUUUCAAAAAGAUUAUAUUAAUUUUGAUUAAUUUAAUUUUACAUAAUUAAAAUUAAUUUUCUCAAAAAUCACUUAAAUUUUUUAAAUUAAUUCUUCAAUAAAAUUAUUUAAUUAAAUUCUCUACUUAAACAAUUCUUACAGCCGCCCAAUUUAAUUCCACAUCAAAUAAAUUGAUAUAAUUAAAUUAUUUUCAAAGUCAUAAAUUUAUCUUUUGAUUCAAAUAUAAUUGAAUCGAGUUUUUAUUGAGUUAGCCAAUGGGCAAACCAGAUAUAUACAAUUAAGCUCUAGUAAUUGUGUAAUUAUGCCUAAAAGUGUUGUUAUAAUAAUUCGCAGUUACUCAAUCAUGGAGUUAAUCCACAAGUACCAUUAUUGAAAACUCUUUAUUAUAUACUUUUUAUUAUAUACUUUUUACGAAAGGAAUUCAUCCAAUUCCUUUUUCCAAUUACCUCGUUAUAUGUGUAUUAUCCUUGUAAAGCUCAAAUAUGCCCGGGCCCAAACAAAUAAACGAGCCCGCGUGCAGAACCAAAACCCAAUACAGUGGCCCAAAAAUUAAACCUAAUUAUAGGCCCAUUUUUAUGACCCAAAUCAUCCCAAAAAUUGAAAAACCUAGCAGUUUUCCUUGCGCUGCACAGCAACCAUGCGCACCACCCCCACCGCAACAGUAGCCGCCAUUCGCGCGAGUUGCGCCUCCACGCGUGCCUCGCCUUGUACCUGCAGCAACACACACAAACAGAAGAGCAAAAACCGGGCCAACAAACAACAGAACAGAUUUUUUUUAGAUUUUUUUUCUUUUUUUUUCUCUUUUCUAUUUCGGCUAUAAAAGGCCGAUUUCAAGUACUGUAAUGGGGGAGAGGAAAAAUCAGAGAGAAAAUUCAAUACGAGUGCAAAUCGGGGUUUUUUCGGUGUAAAAGGGAAUAGAAAAUACAUAUAUCGAAGUGUUUUUUUUACAAAGGUUUUUCUUUUCGUUUUUCAGUAUCCAUUUUUAUUUUCAUAUGUUUUAUUUUCUUUUAUUUUCAUUUUAUUUUGUUUAAAAUAACAUAAAAGAAAGAGGGAAAGCUUACCUGGUCGUCCGAAUCGUCAAAUAGGAGCCCUCUCCGUCGAAAUCGGGGCAUGGGCGCUAGGUUUGAUCGGCGGCGCAUAGGGUUGGGGUUGAAGAAACCCUAGCAGAGG